CCUCUUGUAGCUCAAUCGGUUAGAGCAGCGGUUUGUGAAGCCGCAGACCACGGAUCGUAACCGUGCAGGGGGACC
rnacentral:tRNA from 1 species